GACGAACGCUGGCGGCGUGCUUAACACAUGCAAGUCGAACGGAAAGGCCCUGCUUUUGUGGGGUGCUCGAGUGGCGAACGGGUGAGUAACACGUGAGUAACCUGCCCUUGACUUUGGGAUAACUUCAGGAAACUGGGGCUAAUACCGGAUAGGAGCUCCUGCUGCAUGGUGGGGGUUGGAAAGUUUCGGCGGUUGGGGAUGGACUCGCGGCUUAUCAGCUUGUUGGUGGGGUAGUGGCUUACCAAGGCUUUGGCGGGUAGCCGGCCUGAGAGGGUGACCGGCCACGUGGGGACUGUGAUACCGACCAGACUCCUACGGGAGGCAGCGGUGGAGAAUAUUGCACAAUGGGCGGAAGCCUGAUGCAGCAACGCCGCGUGCGGGAUGACGGCCUGCGGGUUGUAAACCGCUUUCGACUGUGACGAAGCGUGAGUGACGGUAAUGGGUAAAGAAGCACCGGCUAACUACGUG
rnacentral:rRNA from 1 species